AUUCCUGGCCGUACACAGAGACUGACACAGCAGUCUUGGGGUGGAAACCAGGAAUCUGCAUUUUGA
rnacentral:miRNA from 1 species